UCUCUCUCUCUCUGUGUCUCUCUCUCUCCUGGCAAGCAUUCUCUUAGUACAAACAACUGGACAUCUGGUCUUUCUUUUCCUGAUACCUCGGAGUUGCUUUUAUGGUGCAGGUGCUGCAGUUGGUCAUCCCACCGAGAUCCAGAGAGAAUUGGAAAGACUGGGAAAGAUCGGCUAGAAAGAAGACUUGGGAGAGGAGAGACUCGAGAAAGAAAAGAUUUGAAAACAGGUAGUAAACCAGCAGAUGAAUGCAGGCUACACAGGAAUACUGGUUUCCUGUCUUGGCAGACAUUGAAUGAGUUUGUUUAUAUGAAGCAAUAUGUUCCAACUGAAAAGACAAAUGUUACUUUGAGACACUGUCUGAAGAUUGAAUUAUCCACUCUGCAGUUUGCAACGUUCACAAGGCUAAUUUCAGUCUUCUUCCUUUUGAAAUUCCACCUGGGUAAAGGGACAAGUUCAACAGGGCCAAGAAAGUGCAAAGGACAGACAAAUCAAAUCUAAUCAAGAUGCCGGGAGACGUCCCUGACAACAUGACUUUAAAUGGCCUUUAGAAUAUUAACAGAACAUUGUUCAAAGUGAAUAGCAAAGUUGCAGUAGCAUUUCCAGAGGUUUGAGUGGUAGUUUGGGGAUGAAGCAUAUGUUUGGCAUAUAGACACCCUGGUCUCAAAAUCCUGUAAAGACACUUAUGUCUACAAGAAAUUGCUUUUUGUCUACACAGAAAUUGCUUAUUGCUGUUGUUGUAUUUUUAAUACAUCAGACAUUUUUUUGUACUUAUUUCAGGAAAAAUUUUAUGUGCCUCAUUGACAUUAACAAUUUGGAGUCAGAUAAAAUACUAAAAUACUACUCAAAUUUUUUAAUAACUUCUACCUGAAUACUAGUUACAGAUGUGGCAUUGGUGUUUUGAAAAUUCCCUUUGGUUUACUUAAUUAAGCAGAUCUAAAUUCCCACUUUCCUGUGUGCACAGUCAGAAUUUUCCCCUUGGAGUCACAUUAGCAAACUGGACUCUAUCAAAAAAAUGAACUCAGGCUCUAAGAUCAUGGGUAAUAGAAUCAGAGAUCUAUUUGAAAGAAUGUUAUAUAUGAUUACCAAGGAUUUACCAAAUUUGGUAAAGGAGGAAUAAAUACAAAAAUUGCAGAAGGACAGCCAGGCAAAGUGACAUAAUUCCACCCCUCAACCUGGACAGGCAGAAGGAAACAACUAUCAAAGUUAUCUUCAUCCUAAGUGCUACUGGGUGCCUUUAAAUCCUGUAUCAGAAAUAAUUCUGAGCAAUUAUAUUAUAAUAUAUUAUUUUAUAAUAACAUAAAAUAAAUAAUAUGAAUCAGAAAAAAAAUUACAAAGGGCUCUGGGAAGUAUCCUAAAUUUUGUUUUCUCUAAUGUGUUAGAAAUUCUAUGUUCUACUUUCUGUCACAUCUAAGUUUUAGUAGUUUCUCCAUUUUCCUUUCAUCUCAAAUGUUUUGUAACUUGUAUGAAUUACUGAAAAAUAGACUAUUCACAGACACAACUGAUUUAACAAAAUGUAAAUGUCUUCUUGACACAAAAGAACCAUGAUACUUCAGUGUCAUCAUCCAGUCACCUAUGUUAUUACUGUCUGGUAUUCAGUUAUGCAGUGAUCUCAAACAUAGUAUAAUUAAGGCAAUUUACUAGAAAUACAUAUUUUACCUAAAGUAUUCUGGCAUCCAUUCACCACUUUUAAACUUACUUAUUAAGGUUACCGUGAUUUCAAUUGCUCAUUUCCUCUUUGGAAGUAAACUAGAAAAAAAAACAUUAUUUCUUUAGACCUUGUAAGUGUGCUAGCCAGCUUUGAAUGCAUUUGGGAAAGAUAGAGGAAUAAUCAAGAAACUUGGAAAGCUUCUAAUGGAGAAAUAAGUAAAUGAAAGGAAGGUUCAGGUGUUGACUGGAAGCAAACUGAAGUCUAAGAGGAAAUUAAACAGUUUAUGUUUGAUAUGGAAAAUGUUUUUCGACAGAGUGAGGUCAAUUCACAAUUCUACAAAAUUAUCAUGGAAAUUGUCAUUUGUCUUCCUGAGUUUGCUUCUUCUGAGACUGUGACCAGAUGGUUUUGUUAUGUCUGAUUUCAUUGUUGUCCAUUUUGUCUCACACCAUAUGCUGCUGAAGACAUGGCCAUUACUAUUCCAAAACUUUUACACAACAAAACUUCAUUAUUUCCUUAAUGCUUACAUGUAAGUGUGGAUAUCAAAAGAUGGCAAUGGAUAAACCAGGACUGGAAUAACAGAUAGUCAUGAGCUCCUGCGUGAGCACUGGGAAUUGAGUUAUGUUCUCUGCAAGAAGCAACAAAUGCUCUUAACUGACAUAAACUGAUGAAAAAGAGACACUAUGUCAGCGAAGAUAAGAGGCAGUCAUUUUGGAAAAGAUACUCUCCUUUUCUCAAAAAGGAUUUGAGGUUAGAGAAAUGGCAUGAGGCAUAAGUCACUUUAAGGGAGGGGAAGGGCUAUAAAAGAUUACCACCUGUCAGUUUCAGUGCAAACAGAAAUUUUAGAAAAUCGCGUUUUGUUCUUUGAAACUGCCAUCACUCAAAUAGCCCAAGGCCUUUGUGCUCUGAGGGGUGACUCUGAAUGCCCUUGAUUAGUUGUGUGGAGCACAUUUUAAGACAGCUAUCUGCAAACAGGAUGAAUCUGAAGGCAUUAACAAUCUGGUUUAUGAUCUCCUGAAGAAUUUGAGAAGGAAACGGAGAACCACAAAGGUGCCACCAAAGCAGACUUUGUAUGCACAAAAUACUGUUUUAUGGGCUGCAAUGUUGACUGAGGUUGCAGAGGUAGAGAAUUCUUAACUGGAAUUCAAAUUUGAAUAUGUUUAAAGAAACAGCUGUCAAACUGAGAACAAUUAACAGGAUGCAAUUUCUAUCAAUGAAAAUGACUGAAAAAUAAACUACCAACUCACUGAGGCAAUGAAGAAGCUUUUAGUACUGACAUUCAAAUAAAACACACUGAUGUGUAAGAUUUAAACAUAAGUUUUAAAUACAUUUUUAGCUGUGUAAUUUCAAUGUUUUUUUCAUGCUUAGCCAAAAAAUAAAGGCAUUCUAUAUUAGUCACUAUAAUACUUAUUUACAAAACCUUAUGUGUCAUUAUCAAUC